UGCGGAGGGACAUUACAAG
rnacentral:rRNA from 2 species